CGAGCCGAUUCGCGAUAAUUGAAAGAAAAUUCGAGAUCGUGAACGUGGAAAGCAUGGUUGAUCGUUGAUUACGCUCGUUGUUUACCAUUGAUUUCGAGAAAUAGCUAUGAUUCACGAGUUCUCCAUUUAGUUUGUUCGUCUCGUUUGUUUUCGUUUCUUUUCUCGUGACUCAUGAGUGGUGUUUCGAUUCAUGGUGCAUGAGAAGGAUAGCGCGAGUAUCAAGGCCGCGCGUGUUUAAUUCGAAACUUGUCGGUUCGCGCGUCGGUUGCCCUUCUGGGAUACGUGUUUUCGUUUCGAUCGUGUUCGCCACGCGGACUUGGACAUGUAACGUAUUCAAACGGACACGUGAUUUCUUGUGUGAUACAACGUGGACCGCGUCGUGCAGUGUUUAAGGGUGUUUUUUUUAAGGUGCCGCCAAUGAAGGGAUAAGAAUGCGAGCGGUGGUCGAGGGGUAGAGGGUGCUAAGGAUUUUUCGAGAUCGAGGAGCGGUUUGGAUAAGGCAUGCUAUGCGUCAGAAGACUGGAAACAGAUGUUCUCGCGAAAGAUGACAGGGUUAAGUAGAUAAAAGGAGCAGCUGCUGGUUCCAACGACCGACGACGAUUCAUCGCGUUUUCCAUGCAGUGCACAAUGCUCUGCCAUCGCGCCCUUGUCGUUCUCUUUGCUGUCAACGUGCCAAUCGGAUGAUCAGAAUUACCCCAUCCUCGCCAAAAACUCCAUCCAGAAAUAC